GAAAUAAUACGCAAAGGCGUAUUCUGUGGUGUUAUUUUUGGGAAGCAACGUUUUACCUUAACUUAAGGUUUGAUAUAAAGUCACAAAUUAAAGUUGCAUUAAAGCUGUUUUUCUCUUCUUUUUUUUCUUUUUUUUUAUACUUUUUUGGUUUAUUUAUAUUAUGGUAUUUUUUCCUUGCAUUUGUAAUUUAACAUUUCUUUAUUAAUCAGCUGUUACAUUUUGUGUGUCUUGGCUCUUUGGGAUAAUAGAGUCUGUCAGAAACAUAAAUGUAGUUUCUAAUAUUUGUUGUAUCUGACGCUAUUUAUUUGACGUCUGUUUGGCGUCUUCAGCCACGUGAUAAUUUGCGGCGUUCAUUGACGUCAACGUCAAAGUUGUUUAUACUUCCGCCCAGACUUUGAAACGUUAACUGAACUGAACGUUAACUGUGGACAUAAAUUAUUCUGAUGAGACUUGAUGAGUAAGAGACCAAAUUCGAGAAUCGCUAUAACUAGAGAAAUAAAAGAGUAAAGGCGCA